rnacentral:rRNA from 1 species
AGAACGAACGCUGGCGGCAUGCCUAACACAUGCAAGUCGAACGCGUGUAGCAAUACACGAGUGGCGCACGGGUGAGUAACACGUGGGAACCUGCCUUGGAGUGGGGGAUAACCCGGCGAAAGCUGGGCUAAUACCGCAUACGACCUGAGGGUGAAAGAUUUAUCGCUCUAAGAGGGGCCCGCGUCGGAUUAGCUAGUUGGUGAGGUAACGGCUCACCAAGGCAAUGAUCCGUAGCUGGUCUGAGAGGAUGAUCAGCCACACUGGGACUGAGAUACGGCCCAGACUCCUACGGGAGGCAGCAGUGGGGAAUAUUGGACAAUGGGGGCAACCCUGAUCCAGCAAUGCCGCGUGAGUGAUGAAGGCCUUAGGGUUGUAAAGCUCUUUCGGCGGGGACGAUGAUGACGGUACCCGCAGAAGAAGCCCCGGCUAACUUCGUGCCAGCAGCCGCGGUAAUACGAAGGGGGCGAGCGUUGUUCGGAUUUACUGGGCGUAAAGGGCGCGUAGGCGGCUCUAGUAGUCAGGCGUGAAAGCCCCGGGCUUAACCUGGGAAUUGCGUUUGAUACUCUGGAGCUGGAGUACGGGAGAGGAUAGUGGAAUUCCCAGUGUAGAGGUGAAAUUCGUAGAUAUUGGGAAGAACACCGGUGGCGAAGGCGGCUAUCUGGACCGUAACUGACGCUGAGGCGCGAAAGCGUGGGGAGCAAACAGGAUUAGAUACCCUGGUAGUCCACGCCGUAAACGAUGUGCGCUAGACGUUGGAGGGCUUAGCCUUUCAGUGUCGUAGCUAACGCGAUAAGCGCACCGCCUGGGGAGUACGGCCGCAAGGUUAAA